GCCAAGACAAUGAACAAGAGGAGUACUACUGGUGUCGUUUUAGAGAGAAAAUUGAUUGCUGAAAAAUUUUCACACAGCCAGUAAGAAGGUAGCUUGGGAGUUAACAAUUUGAAGUAAAUAGAAUUGUUCGAUUUGUGACCGUUACCUCACCAAUGAAGCGGUGUUUGAAGAAAAGUCAAACACAAUUUAGGUGGUACCGCGUAAAAUUAUACGCCCUAAAA
rnacentral:ncRNA from 1 species